rnacentral:rRNA from 1 species
AGGACGAACGCUGGCGGCGUGCUUAACACAUGCAAGUCGAACGGUAAGGCCUUUCGGGGUACACGAGUGGCGAACGGGUGAGUAACACGUGGGUGAUCUGCCCUGCACUUUGGGAUAAGCCUGGGAAACUGGGUCUAAUACCGAAUAUGACCGCGCCAUGCAUGUGGUGUGGUGGAAAGCUUUUGCGGUGUGGGAUGGGCCCGCGGCCUAUCAGCUUGUUGGUGGGGUGAUGGCCUACCAAGGCGACGACGGGUAGCCGGCCUGAGAGGGUGUCCGGCCACACUGGGACUGAGAUACGGCCCAGACUCCUACGGGAGGCAGCAGUGGGGAAUAUUGCACAAUGGGCGCAAGCCUGAUGCAGCGACGCCGCGUGGGGGAUGACGGCCUUCGGGUUGUAAACCCCUUUCAGCACAGACGAAGCGCAAGUGACGGUAUGUGCAGAAGAAGCACCGGCCAACUACGCGCCAGCAGCCGCGGU